UCCUCUAAUAUAGUAUUAUAUGAAACUGUUAAUAUUGGUUGGUACACAAACAUCUUUUGCUUCUUUAUAUUUAAAGUAUUGCAGGUAACCAGGGGACUUUAUUCUCAUUUCUUUUCAUUUUAGAUGAUCAAGAUUAUAUUGUAACAAACAAUACAAGCAUCACAGAAAAUAUAGAGCCAUGUACACAGACAUCCAAUCUUCAGGAUGGUCAAGAUAAUAUUAUAACAAAUGAUAUUAGAAACACAGAAAAUACAGAGCGAUGCACAGUGACAUCCAAUCCAAGGGGUGACCAAGAAAUCAUAACAUUUAAUACAUCAAAGAAGCGUAAGCUUUUAAGGUCUACUUCCAAUCCUUCUGAACAAGUUAAACAUAAUUCUAAUUUAAAGGAUCAAUAUUUUAAAAUUAAAGUUCAAAAUGCAAAAAUAGAAAAGAAAUAUCUAAUAAACAAGAAUAAAAUGGCUAUAAACAAGUACAAAUUGGAAAUGGAAAUUCUAAAAUUAAGAUUAAAGAGAAUGCAACCUUCCAAAAAAAUUAGUACUGUAUAAUAAUAUGUAAUAUUAUUAUUACUUUUUUAACCUAAUGUGUAUAUGUAGUUGUUAAGUUGUUACUUGUUGAUUUAGAUUAAACUUUUUUACUGACCUUAUGUUCCUACUAGUAAUAUUUAAUAGUCGUUAACUUUUUACUUGUUGAUCUAUAUAAAAAUUUAAAGUUAUUUUUAAUAAAGGAUAUUUUAUAAAUAAAUUAUUGGUGUUUAAUUUGUAAAAUGUGUAUUUAUUAACAUA